ACAAGCAACACCCAACCACCCGCGAGCGACCCCAGCUGACCAGUGGAGCGCGAAUCCCACGGACCCGGAUGCAGAUAAAGGCGCAGGAAGGAACCGCGGCGCGGCUGGCGGGAGCUGCGCAUGCGCACCGCCUUUAGGACUCCUGAGGCUGUUUUGGCUAUCCUGGAUACCUUGCAUUUCCAUGUGAAUUUUAGGAUCAGCUUGACCAUUUCUGGAAAAAAAAAAGGCCAUUGGAAUUUUAUAGUAAUUAUGCUGAAUAUAUUGAUCAAUUGGAAAUAUACAAGAAUGUAGGGGAUAAACAAAAAUGCAGUAGAAGCCAGACUGAAAUAAGUGACAAGGAUAAUUCACAAAGUAGAGUGGAAGUUCAAGAAACAGAAAUUCUAAUAAGCUCCUGGAAUUGGUUGGAGUCCUGAGUUGAAAGACAAAUACAAUUUUUGAAGAGUUGAAAUCAUGAGGAAGCAUCAGGUAGAGAAUAAAGAGGAACACUCAACUGGUAUGAGAAAAAUGCCUGAAGUGAACACAUGCGCAAUUCCAGUAAACACACUGAGCAUGCAGCCACUCCCAAGAGCUGGCAGGCCACUGCACAUACAAAUAGCCCACCCCAAGGGAAGAAUUGGGAGAAGGGACGCAAGACCUUAGAAGUAUGCCAACAUGUAAAACUCCAAGUCAAAGAUCAAACAGGGCACUUGAUCUCUCAAGUCGCCUGCUUGGCCCUCUUCCAGGAAUCAUAUUUGACUUAUAGAUCCAAUAAAAGCCCUUUGGGAAAACUGGCCUCAUACCUACUCUACACAGUUCCUGUACAGGAUUCCUGACCUGUGGCCAUCAAGCACCAGAUAAUCCUCAGUGAGUGAUACAUCCCCUUAAUAUUCAAUAGCCACCCUUCUGUAGGGGACCGAUAGAAUGCCGCAUCAGUGGGACAAGACAGAGGUGAAAUCCUGCCCCUCUCUCCCUUGGACCUGGCUGGUACUGCUUUUACCAUCCCAUGGAGUCACACUGCCCUGACAAGUAACAAGAGCCCAAGGCCCACAGAACAACCACCAUGGUCCCUCUGUCAGCAAGAGGCAGUUACAGAAGACUGACCUUCAUCCAUUUUCCCCAAAGAAUUGGGGUCUUGGACUCUUGAUGUGUGAAAUGUUAUAGUAGGCAGCUAGUCAGACUUGAGCAGGGAAGGAGAGGGCCCCUCUCCCCAACCAGGAAUGUCAGAUGACCAUCGCGUGAUGGUCAAGUGGUUGUUAACUGUUUCUCUAAAAUAAAAGUAAUGGCAAAACAGCAAUUACUUAUGCACAAACCUAAUAAUUGGUUGCUUCAAGUGCCAGGGAAAGACAGUCUCCCAAUAGAUAGAAAAACCUGAAACUGGUGAUCAGCUCUCUGAUAAGAUUUUAGGAGUCAGGUGAGUUGUUUCAAGCAUGUGCACUAAGAGGCAAAAUGGCAGAGUUUAACUGGUAUAUAAUCUUCCUCUAGGAACAUGCAGCUGGUAAGGGAAAAAUGCCUCAAGUGACCAUGUGCACAACUUCAUAAACACACUGCAAAUAUGACCCCUCUCAAGUGCGGGCAGGCCACUGUGCAUGCGGACAGCAACCCUAAGAAAACAAUGAGGGGAGAAGGAAUGCAAGACCCUGGAAAUAUGCCAAUGUAUAAAACCACAAGUCAAAGGUCAGGUCAAACAGGGCACUUGAUCUGUCAAGUCGCCCACUUGUCCCUCUUUCUUUCAUUCCUGCUCUAAACUUUUACUCAACUUGUACUCCUGCCUCAGUCUCUCACUCUGCCUUAUGCCCCUCAAAUUCUUUCUUCUGAGGAGGCAAGGAUAGAGGUUGCUGCAUACCAGUAUGGAUUCACUGCCCUAACAAUGUUGAGCAUAGAGUGAGGAAAGAGACUACCUAAACUGAAUAGAAUAGGGUGGGCAUAUGCUGAUUAUAAUUAUAUUUGCUAUUUGUAUUAUAUUAUCUAAUACCUACCUAUUGUGUUAUUGGUUAAAAAUUUCUUCAGAAAUCAUCUCCCCAUUUAUUCAUAUAGUUGCAGUGAGAAUUGAACUAUUAUUGUUAUGUAAUUUUAUUCAUUUCCAUGAUUGAUAGGGCUAGAGAUGAGACCAUUUGAGUGACUGAGGCCAUUCCCUGGAAAUACAGGUGAAAAUGGAAGUCAUUUUUUUCUUGGUUCCUAGAUUGUAAUACAGGAGACCCAUGCAUUAUCGGUUGGUUGUUUUAUUGCUUGGACAGUGAAGGAAAUGAAGCUUGUCUGUGGAGAGGUCAUAAAACAGGAAGAUCUAUAGAGAGGCACAUGAAAGAGAUGGACAAACAAACUGAUCAGUGGAGCUCACUGUUCCAAUUCUUUCCUGAUGUUUAAAGCUGAAAUUCUUUCAUCUUUCCUUAUCUACUCUUAAGGGCUCUUGGAUAGAUGUUCUUGUGCAUUUUUCUGUCUUGAAGGUGAUCUGCUAUGUAAUCUCACUCUAGCAUCUCACUUUUCUCAGAGAUGAACCUUGCUUUUGGUUAAACCUCUAUUACCUAUCCAUUAAUUCUAUCAGUUGCUUGCUCUUCGAAAAUUGAUCUGACAAACUUAUUCAUAGUGAGUUGUUAAUAGACCAAUGUAUUUUCACAUAUCUGGUAAAUCAGAAUUUUCCAGAAAGAUAUUACAAUUUUCUAUUACUUUGUUAUACCAGUUAUUUCAGAGAACUUGAGGCUGACUGAGCAAAAUGUGAACCCUUGAUAGAGUCUGGACUGGCUUCUUCCUAAUUUGUCAUUUUUCAUCUCUACCAUCUCUCUCUCUGGACUUGCUGCCUCUUUCUCUGUGCCUCCUGUGUGUCACUGCUUUCCUCAGCGAUGUAUAUGUGGCCCAUUUGAGGUGAUGGGGCCUAUACACAAAGCUGACAAGUAACUUCCAUAUUUUAUCCAAAAUUUAAAAAUCAGCUCCACUUGAACUCUAUGGAGGUUCCUACUUACCGUGAUAAAAAUAAAUCAGAAAAACAAAAACAUUCCCUGGCUACAGGUACUUGGCGUUAUAACAGACAUAUCAAAUUCACAUGCAUAAUCUCUGGCCACAUCUCCUACCAUCCAUUUCUCCCCUACUCAGAGCCAAUCUGCUAAGCAGGUUCUUCCCUCAGAAAUGUGUAUGGCUUACCCACUGCCUUUGUUUUCUAGGGAUGCUAUAAUAAAGUACCACAAAAUAGGUGGCUGAGAACAGCAGAAAUUUAUUUUCUCGCAGUUUCAGAGGUCAGAAGUCCAAAGUCAAGUGUUGGCAGUGUGGCUGUUUUUGGAGACCCAUUCCAAGCAUCUCUCCAAGUUUCUGGUGUCUGCCAGCAGGACUUGGCUUGUAGAUGUGUCACUCUAAUCUCUGCCUCCACCUUCAUAUCACCUUCUUCUGUGUCUCUGUGUCCCCCCAUCUCCUUCUCUAUUCUCUUAUAAGAAUAUCAGUCAUAGGGUAGAGAGCCCACCCUAAUCCAGGAUAAUCUCAUCUUGAGAAUUUUAACAUAAUUAUGUCUACAAAGACCUUAUUUCUAAAUAAAGUCAUAUUCUUAGGUAGCAGGGUAGGACUUGGAUGUAACUUUUUUUUGGGGGGAGGCACUGUCAACCCACUAUACCUCUCCUCCUCACUCUUAUCAUAUCUUCAUUUAAAUCCCAUCACAAAAAGAGCUUCCCUGACCACGCUAUCAAAAAUAAACUCUCAUGCCCUACUUAAUAACAAACCUCCUCACUCUGCAUCUACUUAUAGCUUGCUAUGGCCUAACACAACUGCAUGAUACAAUUCCAUUAUAGCUCCACUGCUAACCAACAUAAUCUUUCAGUAUCCCAUCUUCUAUUUGUUGAGGGAGAAAAAAAAUCUAAUUCGUAAAUGUAUUUGUUUUUUUCCUGGCCAUGACUCAUGUACAAACAGGUGGAUUGGCUACCCUGAUAUCAGGUACUCACCGUUGGUCCAAUUCCAGUGACUGGAAGUAUGGAUUUAUAUGAGGAAACUAGGGUCAUGUAGGUAUAUAACAGAGAAAUUCUCUUAGCAAAAGAACUAGGCAUGUAUAAUAUUAUAAUUAUUUAACUUUUUUUUUCCUUGAGAUAGGGUCUUGCUCUGUCACCCAGGCUGGAGUGCAUUGGCAUGAACACCGCCCACUGCAGCCUUAACCUUCUGGGCUUAAGUGAUCUUCCCACCUCAGUGCCCCCACCCCCACCCCCCUGCUAGUUGCUGGGACUAUAGGCACAUGCCACCACACCUGGCUAAGUUUCUAAUUGUUGGAGAGGGGUCUUGCCGUGUUGCUCAGGCUGGUCUUGAACUCCUGGGCUCAAGCAACCCUCUCACCUUGGCCUCCCAAAAUGUUGGGGUUACAGGUGUGAGCCACCAUACCCAGCCUUGUUUUGACUUCCUGUUUUGACCCAGCCUUGUUUUGACUUCCCCUCUCUGUUCCCCCAUCCCUCCUUUGUUUCCUUCUUUCCCUUAUAGAUAUGUAUACACACACACACACACACACACACACACACACACACACAGUCUGUAAAGUUGCAGUUAGUGAAUUUUAGUUUUUCAGAGUUAACCAUGCAAUAAACCAAUGUUGUGGUCUCUAGUGUUUACUCGGCUGUUUGGAGGCUGGUUUCAUCUUAUGUUUCUUUUUGUAUUUGCCUUAUCUUUCUUCAUCAGAAAAUAUUUGGGGAUAGCACAAUAGAAAGAAUAUUUGGAGAUCAGAAACUUAGAUUUUCUGACUACCACCAAUUAGCUGUGUCUGAUUUAUAUUUAUAUCUGAUAAAUAUUUACAUUUAAUAUCAAGAGGAGGGAAAUUUGAUGAGUCUAAUAUGCAAAAUGUAUAUUUAUAAAAUUGGUCAAUUGCUCCAAUAUGAGCCACUGUGGGUCCAAAGUUUUGAGUAGCAAUCCAAAAAUGAAUAAAUUUUUAGUCACAUAAUUUAUAACUUCUAGAAAAUUAAGGAGAAAUUUUGGCUUCAAAGAAGAAUAACUUUUUUUGUCUUUCUACUGAUAUGAAGAAACUAUUCCUUCCAUGAGUCCUCAUGGAGAGGGCACUAUAUAAAUGCAAUAAAACGCUCCUUAGUUAUAUCCUGAAAUUAACUACAGUAGUGGUUUCUGUAAUGAUUAAGGGAAUGGCAUCUUAAAUUGGGUUCAAAUUUUCCUACCACCAUUUAUAAGAUGAAUGGGCUUCAGAAAAUUAAUCUUUGUUGGUUUAGUUUCCUCGUUGUUAAAAUAUUGAAAACAGUAGGGUAUAACUCAAGUUUUUUUUUUUUGUGAAGAGUAAAUGAAAUCUUAUGCACAUGAUUCUUUUUGUUGUUGUUGUUGUUGUUGUUGUUGAGAUGGAGUCUUGCUCUGUUGCCAGGCUGGAGUGGUGCAGUGGUUGCAAUCUCGGCUCACUGCAGCCUCUGCCUUCUGGGUUCAAGUGAUUCUUCCGCCUCAGCCUCCUGAGUAGAUUGGACUGUAGGCAUGUGCCACUAUGCCAAGCUAAUUUUUGUAUUUUUAGUAGAGAUGGGGUUUCACCCAUGUUGGCCAGGAAGGUCUUGAUCUCCUGACCUCGUGAUCCACCUGCCUUGGCCUCUCAAAUGGCUGGAAUUACAGGUGUGAGCCACCGCUCCCGGCUGCAUAUGAUUCUUAGAAUGGUGCUGGGCACAUAGUCAACACAAAAUAUUAAGCUUUCUUAGAAUGGUGCUGGGCACAUAGUCAACACAAAAUAUUAAGCUAUCACUGUUAGUGAAAUGCAAUUUAUUAUUUUAAAAAAUUGUCAAAAAAUAAUGAUAGCCUAAUGUCAAGUUGAAUUUCUUUCACAGUAAGUUUUUGGUCAAGCCAAAAGUUUCAGAGUUCUUUGAUGAUCAUACUUAACUCAAUGAGAUAUUUCAUAGUAGAUGAAUGAGUUUAUCUAUUCUUCAGAUAAGAAUUUACCUGUUCAGAUAAUCAUCUAUAAAUAGUUUCAUUCAACAUAGUUUGUGAGAAGUAUUGAUCAGUAUUGAUUUUGUGGUUAUACGCUGACAAGUACUUGGAGUACAGCCAUUCUGAGUUGUUGAUUAAGUGUAAAACUCAUGUUUGAUAUUUGAAAGGAGUAAAAAAAGAUUUAAAAGCGAGAAACUUGAUAAAGACACAUCUUAGUAGAAACCCUCUUUUUCUGCAUGGAGAUGGGCUGAGGCUACCUGUGGGAAAUAUUAAUGUUAUUGUUAAAAUGUAAUCUGAGGCUUGACCCAGUAUCUAAUUGAAUGUGCAAUUGAAACUCACAAAUUUUAAAUCAGAGAGCAGAGGUGCAAUAAUUUUACCUUGGAAAGUUCUGAAAGCAGGUGUAAACAAAUGCUCACCUCAGCCAUAAAUAAAAGCUCAGUGAAAUAUUUAUAGAAUGUUUAACCUUGAGCAAUAUUCCUUUCUUGUAGGUGCUCCAAAUGUAUGCCAAACUAACUAAAUGGAUUUAAUGUAUUGUGCAGAUGUAUUGAAUAAGGGCCAUUUAAGAGUUAGAGAAUAUAUAUCCAAAACAAUCAUUUUAGUUACAGAAUAUUUUAUGGUACAAUUUAUGUUUGAAAUUACUUUGGUGGCUAUCUGUAGAAGAUUGUUGGAAGGCAAUAGUGAAAUCAAGAUGUGGCGGUUAAUUUUAUAUGUUAAGUUGACAGGGCUAAGGAAUGCCCAGACAGCUGGUAAAACAUUAUUUCUUGGUGUUAAUAUGAAGGAAUUUUUGGAAGAUAUUAGCAUUUGAAUAAGUAGACUAAGAAAGUGGCCCUCACCAGUGUAGAUGGGCAUAAUCCAAUCCAUUGAAAGUCCAAACAAAAUUAAAGAAUAGAGAAAAGACAAAUUUGCUCUCUCUACUUGAACAGGGUCAUCCAUCUUCCCCUGUCUACAAACAUUGGUUCUCCUCAUUCUUGGGCCUUAGAUUUGAACCAUAACUUACACCAUCAGAUCCCUGGUUCUCAGGUCUUCAGGCUUGGUCUGAAACUAUACCACUGGCUUUCAUGGCCUACCAGCUUGCAGACGGCAGAUAGUGGGACAUCUCAGCCUCCGUAAUUGUGCAACCCAAUUCCUAAUAAAUGAAUAUAUUCCUCUAUAUCUAUAGGUAUCCUAUAUGGUCUGUUUCUCUGGAGAACCCUGACUAAUAUACAGAGACAAAUUAGGCUGCUAUAGCAGGAGUAUAGGUGAGAUGCUUAUAGCUGAAGGUGAAUCAGUUCAAGGAUUUGUGAAAGCUCCUAGUAGGACACCCACAUGAUUCAUACCCAAUCUUAAUAUUCAUAUCUGCAGGUUUAGUUAAUUCUGCCAAGGCAUACAGGGAAUAAAAGUUUAAUACAGUUAAAAAGAUAUUUUAUAUUUUAGCAGUGGAUAUAUGCCUUGACAGAAGAAAUGUACAUUUUAAAACAAACCAUACAUACCUUUCCAGGGAACUGAACAGGAAUCAGAGAGAAAAAUUUUCAGUGAUAUGAGCUAGGUGACAGUUCCUCUGUAGUUGACACAGAUAAGAACGGCCAAACUAGCCCUCUUUUUUGCUAAUUCUAUCUCUGAAUGCUGAAGAUAUAAAAGUCCACAAGACUCUGAAAGUGAAUAGAUGAUUCCACUGAAGUCCAAGUCUCUUUCUGGAAAAUAAUAUAAGUUAAAAAAAAAUAUUCUUUGAAGGUCACAUUUUAGGGAAUCUAUUAUACUAAAAUUAGGAAACUUCUGAAUCCAUAUAUUUAUAGUGACAACCUGGCAAUAUUAAGAGGUAUUGCGAAUACAGAUCACUCUCUCAAAGCAGAUGAGGUCAUGUGUGCAAAAAUAUUAAUUUUAAAUUUAGAAGUUUAUCAAGAACUAUGAAGGAUCUGAGAUUUUUAUUCUACCGGUAAAUUAACAAGUUAGCUUGCCACUGUUUCAUGGAUGUCACCAGCAGACAUGGGAUUUUAUUUUUGUUCAAAGACAAAGGAUUGUAUUACCCUUGGCACAGCAGAUAGCAUGAAUUUCAAGUUUCAUUUGAUCCCCUUGCUCUUACCCACACUAAGCCCCACAGGAGCAAUGUAUAGAUGGGUCAAGGUGGAUGCUGUGCCCACUGUGUUAGUAUCACAGCUGAGAAACCUCAUGCUUAGGAAACCCCAAUGUAUUAUAAGAUGGCUGAAAGCAAACUUGACCAAUAUUUGCUCUGAAAGGAGACAUUAUUUUUAUUAUAUUGCACAGAAAACAGACCUGCCCUCUGCCUCAGAGGUAGAUAAUAUCUCCAUCUUCCAUGGGUCCUUGCUAUCCAAACAUCCUUCAAAAGAGAGUCCAGAAAAAUAUCUGCUAGUAACACUGUUUACAAGACAUAGGGAAAUAUGAGAAACUCAUGGAGAAUUUUAUUCCAACAGUGUUCAGAAAGAAAGCCACACAAAUUCAAACAUAAUUUUAACUACGGUAAACUUGUCUGCAUUGCAAAACAUUUAUCAUUGUAAAAAAAAUGUAUAGUCACCAAUAGCUUGCAGCACACAUAUAUCCUAUUUAAGUACCUGAGUGGAAAAACUAUUUUAUAUAUGAUGUAGCUAGUCUAAAUUGGGCUCUCCCAAAUUGCUCAACCAAAAACAGAUAAAGUGUUCUUAUUUGCACCUUCAGCAAGGGAACAAGCUCUCUUCAUCCAUUGGGAUUGUAAUAGUAAAAUACCUGAGACUAGGUAAUUUAUAUAAAAUAUACAUUUAUGCUGGAGUUCUGGAGGUUUGGAAGUCUACGAUCAAGACGCCAGCAAGUUUGGUGUCUGGUACAAGAUGGUGUACUGUUGUUGCUGUAUCUUCUGAAGGGAAGGAAUGGCGCAUCAUCACGUAAGAAACAGUGGAAGAGCAGGAGAGGCUAACUCUCCCUGAAGCCUGUUUUAGGAGGCCAUUAAUCAAUUUAUGAGGUCUCUGCCCUUUUGACUUAAUUACUACUCAAAAGGUCCCUCCUCUUGAAACUGCUGCAUUGGGAAUUACAUUUUGACAUGAAUUUGGAGGGGACACCAUCAUUCAAACCAUAAUGCAAUCCCAGCCAACCUUUUUGUGAGAAUUCCAUUCUGUCCCUUCUAAGCAUGUCCAUCUCUUCUACUUGGAGUCUUACUAUAUAUAGCUAGAUUAAAGGUCCUGUUACCUGUGGGGAAUAGUGAGGAGGCUACAAAUGGAGGCAACACGUGUUUUAAAAUUCCUACCAUAUAUCGUAUUGAGACAAUUUACAAGGUUAUUGGAAAUGAUAUACAGAGAACCAAAACAAUAGAAAUUUUCCAGAAUUAUAACUCAUAGUCUUUUCACUGAGCUCAGAAAAGACACUUCAGCUGUUUAUAACAUAUGGUAAAUACUGUUAGCAAAAGAAUAAGUAGCUAUAGAUUUCUUACUGUGAAUCUCUGUAUUGUAGCUAAUAGCAGAUUUUUCAGAAUUAAUCAUGCAUUAAAGUUAAGUUCCAUGAUGACUUUUGGUGUUUACUCAGCUAUUUGGAGUGAUGUUUAGUCUUGCUAUUCUUUUUCUCCACUUUUUAGCACUGCAUUACAUAAAUUGUAAUUAUUGCUUCCUCAUUUCAUCUUCCUCUCUAUCUGACUUGACCACUAAGCUAAUGUCACACAGUUUAGACUUUUUGGUAUGAAGUAACUCAAAUUAAAAUUUAAAUUUUUGGACAGGCACUGUGGGUAAUGCCUGUAAUUCCAGGAUUUGGAGAGGCAAAGGCAGGAGAAUCGUUUGAGGCCAGGAGUUCAAGACAUGCUUGGGCAAUAUAGCAAGACCUUGUCUCAAGUAAAAAUACAAAAAAUUACCCAGACUACAGGCAUGUGCCUGUAGUCCCAGCUACUACAGAGGCUGAGGAGGGAGAGUUACUUGAGCCCAGGAGUUCAAGCUUGUGGUGAGCUAUGAUUGUGCCAUGGCACUCCAGCCUGGGCAACAGAGUGAGACCUUAUCUCAAGAAAACAUUAAAUUUCUGUAAAUUAAUGAAAUAUGACUGGAUAAAGAAAUGGAACUACUAUAUUUUUGAAGGCUAACAUGAAAGCUGUGGAAAGACACAAUAAUGGAAGUCACUAAAAAGAAAUUGCUCUCAAAUUAGGAUUAGGUGAGCCAAAUGUAUAUAAUUAUAAAUAAAAGAAUGGAAAACAUUUAAAAAAGAGUUUACACUUAUAUUACUUACAACUAACUUUAAGUUGUGUUCUAGGUUUAAAGAAGUAUAUACAGAAAACUACAGAUUUUUAAAAGUUUGUAUAUGUUUAUCAAUAAUAAGGCACUAAACUAUAGUCAGCAGAUCUAUACAUGAGAUCUAAGCCUUAGUCAGAUAUCACAAGGUUGGCAAAAGAAUAACUCUAUCUAUUGAUUCAUCAAUCUGUUGCCUAUCAUCUGUUUUUAUGUCAUCAUAUUUCUAUCUGUGUUUUUUAAUUGCCCAUUUUAGCCAACAUUUUCAAGUAAGUGACAAAUCUUAGUGAUAUAAUGUAUGGGGGCUUCCUCUCCAGAGGUGGUAGUUGCUUGCAUGGAUGCUCUCCUGCUCCUUCAGAGGUUUUUGCAUAUGCCUAUUCUAAGUCAGUCUGUGCUGAUUAUAAAACUUAAUCCAUUAAAGAUAAUUUAAUUUCCCCUGAAUUUUUCAGGAGAGAGAGAAAGCCCCUUCACAUACAGGUGGUCAAACUGGGUAGGUGUAUAGUUGUUUGUUUUUAUUAGUUUGCUUUUGUUUUUUCACUUAUGAUUGAGUUAUGAGCAUUUAUUCCUAGCAUUAUGUCUUAGAAAAAUAUGAUUUUGAGAGGCAUUGUAUGACAUUUCAUCAAAUAUAGGCUCUUUUAAAUUUACUUUAGUGCCCAAACUUUGUACAUUUAGGUUACUGAUAUGGUUUCAUUCUAUGUCCCCACCCGAAUCUCAUCCUGUAGCUUCCAUAAUUCUCACAUGUUGUGGAAGGGACCCAGGGGGAGAUGAUUGAAUCAUGAGGGUGAGUCUUUCCUGUAUUGUUCUCGUGACAGUGAAGGGGUCUCACGAGAUCAUAGUCUUAAAAAUGAGAGUUUCCCUGCACAAGCUCUCUUUGCCUGCUGCCAUCCAUAUAAGAUGUGACUUGGUGCUCCUUGCCUUCCACCAUGAUUAUGAGGCCUACCCAGCCAUAUGGAACUGUAAGUACAAUAAACCUCUUUCUUUUGUAAAUUGCCCAGUCCAGAAAGAAAGUCCACUGUCUUUAUUAGCAGUGUGAAAAUGGACUAAUACAGUUAUCAAACAUUUUUAAUUCUAAUAAUUUAAACUUGGCAGAGAUCUGCUAUGAUAAUACUUUGUGCUUAUUGUGCAAUUUAUCCUUUGGAUAAAUUACUAGAAGUGGAACUUCUAUGUAAAAAAGUAUGAACAAUUCCAAGGCUUUGCUAUCUGUAGCUAAAGUACUUUACAGAGCUUAUUCCAAUUUACAUUCCCUUCAGCUAACUUAUUGCAUCCUAUUUAACAAUAAAUAUUGACAUUUUAAGUUUUAUCAAAUUGCCAGGAAAAAAUAGUGUUGUGCUACUUUAACGCAUAUUUGGUUCCAAGGGGUACAUAUCCCCCAUAUGUUUAUUGAUCGGUUUUUGUUUCUUUUUUGUGAGUUGACUGAACUCAGUACAUCCUUCCAGGAGAUAUUAAUUGUGGUUGAUCUUAUUUACUACAAAUACUUUACCCAGCUUGUUUACUUUUUAAUUUUGCCUGUGGUGUCUUCAGGUGCACAAUACACCAACAAAACUAGAAUUAUAAAAAUUUUAUUGCUACCAUUAAGUAAAUAAAUUGUUACCAUUUAUUUAUUUUUUUAAAGAGAAAACAUUUAAAUGAUUAAAGGGCGUCCUUGUAACUAACAGUAAAUACAUCAAAAAAUUACUUGAUUAGAAUUUAUGAGUUUUAAAUCCUGUCAUUAAAAAGUUGAAAAAAAGAAUGACAUUAUGGCUUUGCUAUAACAAGAUGCUGCUUUUAUAAUGUAAAAUAUGGUUACUUGCUUGAAAAAUAAACUCAAGAGAAUAAAUUUAUUUGUUUAUUUUGUCAUUUACUCAUCCAGGCAAAUCCCAAAUGGUGAAGUUGCAGUAAUAUUAUUGGUAUGGGGUUGGAAUACAUCUUUUAGCUGUCUGUGUGAUUUUUCUGAAAGAUAAUGUUUCUUUAGAAAAGGACAUAUUAAAAACAU